UUUGCUGAAAGUCAAAGUUUUAUAACCAAAAGAAACCCAGCGGGAAGCAAACGUUUACACGACGCUUACCUAAGCGAGGUGGCUUCACCGCCACGCUCCUGGGAUACAAAAUAAGAAAACAAAGAAGGCAAUAAACUAACAGAAAAGGUGCCAGAGCUACAAUUCCUAAUACACCAAUUACAUACAAAAUGCGCCAGGAAAUUAGAAUUCCUAGGAGCCCAGACAAAGACCACAUCCUGGAACAAACCUUGCAUCAGAAGAAUAUCAUUCAGAACUCCUUCUGCUGACCAGUGCGUGAACUGCAAGUUUGAGCUAUUUAAGAUGGAGAUGAUGUUUUUUGCAUCAGAUUCACACACGAGUUUGGUCCAUCCUUCCUCUGAGGUUAGCAUCAGACCUUGAAAAAUUCCAUAAGCCUCAGCAAGUUCAAGGUUGUCAGAUGGGAAGGAGACCGCCCUGAUUUUCAAAACUUCACCAAGGUGAUCCCUUGCAACCACUCCAAACGUAAUUAAUUGUUAAUGGAGACAACAAUGCACCACCAGUCUAGGCAUCAGCGAAGACUUUGACUUAUUACCAAAAAGUGACGACUUUGCCUGGGCUUCUACGAUAUAAUUUUAGCCCAAACAACAUCCUUGAAUUGGGGGGGUCAGCAGCAGGAAACACGUAGACGACUUUUUCAUCCAAUGCUACUUCAAGUAGAUCGAGAGCUGCUCGUUCCACCUUUCUUCCUCGAUACGAGUAUGUCUCUUGAACAGCUUUCGGCUCCUCUUGAUGUUGAAAAGUUGCAUACACCUACAAACUUACCUACUUUAUUAGGACUAUAUAUAUAUGUAUAUAUAUCUGUAAUAAUAUUUUGUUUUGCGUGGUGUGUUAUCAUGAAACAUAUGUCAACUAAGAAGGAUACUAAAUUGCUGGAUUUCUUUACCAAAUGAAAUGCAGAAUCUCCUUUUCUAAUUAUCUAGUCUGGCCCACUUAUUUUCUUUGUCCUCACCGUUAGUCGAAUUCAUUCUCCCAAGAAUCACGUUAAUGGAUUAGCCUAAAUCAGUGAAUUGGAUGACUUACUUUUUGCAAGUGCACCAGUAAUGGCGUGUCCUGAGAAGAAAAAGAAAAUUCGGUAUUUAAAUGUCUAUAAAAAAGGCAAUUGGAAAAUUGGAGCAUUGAAAAAAAUACUUUUGACUAAAAUAGUAUUCUUUCUUUCUAUAUUUUUCUUUAAAAGCAACGUUUCUUUUUAAAUUCUUGUUAUUUUGGAAUUUUCAAUUUUAUUGAAAUUAUUUUGAAUAUGUUUGUGUAAUUUUUCUUGGUUUCACAAUACAAUGAAAUGUCCAAGGAAUUGUUUGCCAUGGAACUUGUCCUCCAUUUUUGGGUGAAAUUAAAGAUCUGUUACAGAGGCUGAGAAAUCUGCAUCUGUUACGGAGGCUAAGAAAUCCAGAGGUACAUUGCGUCUCAAGAGAAGCAAAAAAGGUAGCUCACUGGUUAGCCAAGGCAGCCAGGAAAAAAUCUCUUUCUCUGGGCUAGGAAGCAAACUUACCUGUUGAUCUCUUAUCCAUUCUACACCAUUAUGUAAGGUGCCUGUAACCGUUUCUUUCUCCAAAUUGUAAUGCUAAUGGACCCAAAAAAAAAAAAAAUGUGAUAUUGGUUGAGAAAAUCAAUUAGCAGUUGAAAUUGUUAUUAGGCUUUGAAGCCCAAACCGAUGAGUUUUGUGGCCUGUAUGCUGGACGUAAUAGGGGAUUAUGUUUUGAAGUUAGAUUAGCUGUUUAAUAUCAUAUUGCAGAAUAAUUGCAUACAACCGCAACUUUACUCAUCCCAUGCUUGCUAUUCUAUUGAACUAACAUAAUAAUGGUGAGGAGUUGUUGUUAAACAGUUGGCCGUGGUCUCUGCUCAAGAGCUUCGUAUAGUGUGGUCUCUAGUGGAGAAUAAAUUGGAAAUAUCAUUUCUUGUUUUUAGUCCAUGAAGCCCUUCACAAUUCAAGAAUUUCACUACAUCAUGGCACCACUAACUCCUUGGUCCCUUUUGCUUCUAGUGCAGGGUCUCUAACUUGACCACGAAGAGAAUGAAGUUUACAUAUAUCAUUUGUAAAGGAAAUCAACUUGGAAGAAAACUAUCUACAACACUCUAUGAAUUGUAAUAUAUAUAUUAUUUAUUUCAUUCUCUAUU